UUAAGCGACUAAGCGUACACGGUGGAUGCCCUGGCAGUCAGAGGCGAUGAAGGGCGUGCUAAUCUGCGAUAAGCGCCGGUAAGGUGAUAUGAACCGUUAUAACCGGCGAUACCCGAAUGGGGAAACCCAGUGUGAUUCGUCACACUAUCAUUAACUGAAUCCAUAGGUUAAUGAGGCGAACCGGGGGAACUGAAACAUCUAAGUACCCCGAGGAAAAGAAAUCAACCGAGAUUCCCCCAGUAGCGGCGAGCGAACGGGGAGGAGCCCAGAGCCUGAAUCAGCAUGUGUGUUAGUGGAAGCGUCUGGAAAGGCGCGCGAUACAGGGUGACAGCCCCGUACACAAAAGCGCAUGUGCUGUGAGCUCGAUGAGUAGGGCGGGACACGUGGUAUCCUGUCUGAAUAUGGGGGGACCAUCCUCCAAGGCUAAAUACUCCUGACUGACCGAUAGUGAACCAGUACCGUGAGGGAAAGGCGAAAAGAACCCCGGCGAGGGGAGUGAAAAAGAACCUGAAACCGUGUACGUACAAGCAGUGGGAGCCCCACCACUAAGCCAGUGGUGAACUCCACAUACGCAUCCUUUGCUGAAGGCAAUGGUUAACGGAGCGAAAGCGACGUUCAACCGCAAAACAAGCAGAGGGGGCUUAGUGGUGGGGUGACUGCGUACCUUUUGUAUAAUGGGUCAGCGACUUAUAUUCUGUAGCAAGGUUAACCGUAUAGGGGAGCCGGAGGGAAACCGAGUCUUAAUUGGGCGUUAAGUUGCAGGGUAUAGACCCGAAACCCGGUGAUCUAGCCAUGGGCAGGUUGAAGGUUGGGUAACACUAACUGGAGGACCGAACCGACUAAUGUUGAAAAAUUAGCGGAUGACCUGUGGCUGGGGGUGAAAGGCCAAUCAAACCGGGAGAUAGCUGGUUCUCCCCGAAAGCUAUUUAGGUAGCGCCUCGUGAAUUCAUCUCCGGGGGUAGAGCACUGUUUCGGCUAGGGGGCCAUCCCGGCUUACCAACCCGAUGCAAACUGCGAAUACCGGAGAAUGUUAUCACGGGAGACACACGGCGGGUGCUAACGUCCGUCGUGAAGAGGGAAACAACCCAGACCGCCAGCUAAGGUCCCAAAGUCAUGGUUAAGUGGGAAACGAUGUGGGAAGGCCCAGACAGCCAGGAUGUUGGCUUAGAAGCAGCCAUCAUUUAAAGAAAGCGUAAUAGCUCACUGGUCGAGUCGGCCUGCGCGGAAGAUGUAACGGGGCUAAACCAUGCACCGAAGCUGCGGCAGCGACACUCAGGUGUUGUUGGGUAGGGGAGCGUUCUGUAAGCCUGUGAAGGUGUGUCGUGAGGCAUGCUGGAGGUAUCAGAAGUGCGAAUGCUGACAUAAGUAACGAUAAAGCGGGUGAAAAGCCCGCUCGCCGGAAGACCAAGGGUUCCUGUCCAACGUUAAUCGGGGCAGGGUGAGUCGACCCCUAAGGCGAGGCCGAAAGGCGUAGUCGAUGGGAAACGGGUUAAUAUUCCCGUACUUGGUGUUACUGCGAAGGGGGGACGGAGAAGGCUAUGUUGGCCGGGCGACGGUUGUCCCGGUUUAAGCGUGUAGGUGUGUGUUCCAGGUAAAUCCGGUUCACUUUAACACUGAGGCGUGAUGACGAGGCACUACGGUGCUGAAGCAACAAAUGCCCUGCUUCCAGGAAAAGCCUCUAAGCAUCAGGUAACAUCAAAUCGUACCCCAAACCGACACAGGUGGUCAGGUAGAGAAUACCAAGGCGCUUGAGAGAACUCGGGUGAAGGAACUAGGCAAAAUGGUGCCGUAACUUCGGGAGAAGGCACGCUGACACGUAGGUGAAGUGAUUUACUCAUGGAGCUGAAGUCAGUCGAAGAUACCAGCUGGCUGCAACUGUUUAUUAAAAACACAGCACUGUGCAAACACGAAAGUGGACGUAUACGGUGUGACGCCUGCCCGGUGCCGGAAGGUUAAUUGAUGGGGUCAGCGCAAGCGAAGCUCCUGAUCGAAGCCCCGGUAAACGGCGGCCGUAACUAUAACGGUCCUAAGGUAGCGAAAUUCCUUGUCGGGUAAGUUCCGACCUGCACGAAUGGCGUAAUGAUGGCCAGGCUGUCUCCACCCGAGACUCAGUGAAAUUGAACUCGCUGUGAAGAUGCAGUGUACCCGCGGCAAGACGGAAAGACCCCGUGAACCUUUACUAUAGCUUGACACUGAACAUUGAGCCUUGAUGUGUAGGAUAGGUGGGAGGCUUUGAAGCGUGGACGCCAGUCUGCGUGGAGCCGACCUUGAAAUACCACCCUUUAAUGUUUGAUGUUCUAACGUGGACCCGUAAUCCGGGUUGCGGACAGUGUCUGGUGGGUAGUUUGACUGGGGCGGUCUCCUCCUAAAGAGUAACGGAGGAGCACGAAGGUUGGCUAAUCCUGGUCGGACAUCAGGAGGUUAGUGCAAUGGCAUAAGCCAGCUUGACUGCGAGCGUGACGGCGCGAGCAGGUGCGAAAGCAGGUCAUAGUGAUCCGGUGGUUCUGAAUGGAAGGGCCAUCGCUCAACGGAUAAAAGGUACUCCGGGGAUAACAGGCUGAUACCGCCCAAGAGUUCAUAUCGACGGCGGUGUUUGGCACCUCGAUGUCGGCUCAUCACAUCCUGGGGCUGAAGUAGGUCCCAAGGGUAUGGCUGUUCGCCAUUUAAAGUGGUACGCGAGCUGGGUUUAGAACGUCGUGAGACAGUUCGGUCCCUAUCUGCCGUGGGCGCUGGAGAACUGAGGGGGGCUGCUCCUAGUACGAGAGGACCGGAGUGGACGCAUCACUGGUGUUCGGGUUGUCAUGCCAAUGGCACUGCCCGGUAGCUAAAUGCGGAAGAGAUAAGUGCUGAAAGCAUCUAAGCACGAAACUUGCCCCGAGAUGAGUUCUCCCUGAGACUUAGAGUCUCCUGAAGGAACGUUGAAGACGACGACGUUGAUAGGCCGGGUGUGUAAGCGCAGCGAUGCGUUGAGCUAACCGGUACUAAUGAACCGUGAGGCUUAACCUU
rnacentral:rRNA from 1 species